AACAGAUAAACUAGCCGACACAGUAAGGGAAGGACCAGGAUUUAGAUGGACAUCCCCGGACAAAAAUAUCAGCAAGAAAACCAAUAAUACAUCUCUUUGCUGCAAAUAUCUUCAGAAAAAGAAAGACGCAGGCUGUACCUACGGGUGUACUGCUCAAAGUCAUUGAUACGAACUUUCAAGUUUUCAUUUUCGGCGAUUAAUUCGGAAUGUGCAGAAGAUAGCUUUUCCAAAUCUUCCUUCAGUGGUUUAUACAUUUCCUCCAGUAAAGUACGAAUAUCAGGCAUCAAUAUAUUUCUUAGUGCUUCGACAAUACAUAAGAUAUCAGCUUUAGACAAAGUGGAAGUUUCUAUGGCCUUGCUAUUCGAGGCAAGUCUAGAUUCGUAGUCUGGAUACAACAUAGGUAAUACCGUACAACGUUUUUCUUCGGAUAAAACUUGUGUGGGACUAGUAUCUUUACGUUUUAAUGGUCGAUCAGGCGUGUCGUUUUCAGCCAUAAAAAUAAACAAGAUACUUUGACUAAAUUUCAAUAGCACGUGUUCAUACAACAAGUGCGUGUGACAUCACAAAUAGCUUUUGUCAAAAGUUAUUCAUUAAAUUCCAGAUUUUGCAAA